UGCCAAAGAGUCUGGAGCUCAGACAGCGC
rnacentral:piRNA from 1 species